rnacentral:rRNA from 1 species
CGAAAGGGAGCCACAACACAGGUGCUGCAUGGCUGUCGUCAGCUCGUGUCGUGAGAUGUUGGGUUAAGUCCCGCAACGAGCGCAACCCUUGUCAUUAGUUGCUACGAAAGAGCACUCUAAUGAGACUGCCGGUGACAAACCGGAGGAAGGUGGGGAUGACGUCAAGUCCUCAUGGCCCUUAUGGGUAGGGCUUCACACGUCAUACAAUGGUAGGUACAGAGGGUAGCCAAGCCGCGAGGGGGAGCCAAUCCCAGAAAACCGAUCGUAGUCCGGAUCGCAGUCUGCAACUCGACUGCGUGAAGUUGGAAUCGCUAGUAAUCGCGGAUCAGCAUGCCGCGGU